ensembl:lncRNA
AGGGAAUUGGAGCUCUCACGGGCACUGAGCAAAGAUUCAAGUGCCCAGAACCUGCUGUGACCUCCCAACUCACUUCCCGUCAGGCCUGCCCCCACCCUGUCCCGGGACUAGGACACAGCGGCCCUCAGGUCACUGACACGAUCAGAGCAUGGGGGCUUCAGCCUGCGCUCAGAGGUCCCGUGGUCUCUCUCCCACUCACGCCAGACCUCACCGUUUCAAAAGCUGCCCACGGAGGAAAGAACUCAAGUCCAGUGCGAGAGGCAGGGAGGGUGCGAGGCGGCAGCGCAGUGUACCACCUGCCCUGGUGACUGCAGCUUCGCAGGAAGUCUUGAAAUCGGACGGCGUGUGUCCUUCGACACAUUCUUCUCCUUCGAAGUUGUCGUGUGUAUUCCAGCACCUUGGCCUUCCCCAGAGCUUCACACUCACUGUGUCGAUCUCUACAAAACAGCCUGCUGGGAUGUUAACCGGACUGAGUUUAAUCUGUACACCAAUUUGGGGAGAACUGACCUCUUAGCAGUUUUGACUAUUCCAAUCCACGAAACAAUACAUGUCUCCAUUUAUGUAGGAAUUCUUUGAUUUCUUUCAUCUGUGUUUCAUAGUUUUCAGCAAACAGUUCUUGUGUGUAUUUUGUAGGAUUUGUGCCUAAGUAUUUCAUGAUUUUUGGUUCUAUUGUAAAUGGAAAUGUUUUUAAUUUCAGUUUCUAAUGGUUCUUUACUAGUAUACAACUAAAUUCACCUGCAGUCCUAGCUUUUGUGUAGAUGCCACUGGAUUUUCUACGUAGAAAAUCACAUCAUCUGCAAAUAAAGAUGGUUUCUCUCUCUCUCUAAUCUGUUUGCCUUUCAUUUCUCUCUUUUUCUUGCCUUCUGCACUUGCUAGAGCCUCCAGGAUGAUGGUGAAUAGAAGUGGUGAGGUUGGACACCCUCGCCUGGUUCCCGAUCGCAGAGGAAAAGCAUCCCCUCUCUCUCUAUUAUGCAUGAGGCCACUGAAGGGGCUUUGCAGACGCCUCUACCAGGGUCGGGAAAAUCUCUUUAGAUCCUGGCUUGCUGAGUUGUCUGUUUAAUCACAGAUGGACGCUGACUUUCGUUAAAUGCCGUUUCUGCAUCUAUUGAGAUGAUUAUAACAUUUUCCUUCUUCAGUCUGUUGACAUGAAAAAUUACGUUGACUGACUUUCAAAGUUAGAACCAACCUUUCACUGCUGGGAUAAACUCUACUGACCAUGAUGUAUGACCCUUUUUAGACGCGGCUGAAUCAGAGUCAAUGACAUCUGGUGAGAAUUCUCACACCCACAUUCAAGAAGGACCCUGGCCUAGAGUUUUCCUUUCCUCCAAGUCUGUACAGGCCAGCAUUUACAUCGAUUGCAGUUUAGCUGGAUCCUUUCAAGGCUUGUUUUUAAGCUUUUGAGGGGAGGGUCUAAGCUACUCUCACUCUGGGUUUAUUUACCCCACUACCAAGGUAGGACCCCUUGGGGGUCUCUACAGCCUGCCCGGGGUCAGCAAGAACUGUCCACUGCUGCUGAGCCCUUGGCACCGGCCCCCUUGCGGCUCCUUGGCAGUUGUCCUCGGCCCUUCUCCUGGCAUCUCACAUGUGCAUGCACAGCGCAGUAACCCACAAACACCGCGGGCACCCCCUGAGGAUUCCCGCAGCUCCUCCUCUGCAGAGUUCCCGUCUCUCCAGGCUCUCUGGCCCACAAAUCCAAGCAGAGUCCCUGCACUCCCAUCUCCACUCUUCAAUGCAGUGGAGCCACCAGACGCUGCUCGGGUCCUUGUUCCCCACACUGCAGUUCACGAAGCACCUCCAGGCAGAAAUCGGGGCCACUACAGCACUUACCUUUCCUGUUCCCUUUUUCUCAGGCAUCACAGCUCUGUGCUGCCUAUUGUUCAACGUUUGGAAAUAGUUGAUACAUAUAUUUUGUCCAGGUUCCGGUCACCGAGGGCAGCAGGGUAUGUGCAGUAGUAACCCCAUCCCAUUGACUUGACCUUGUAUGUCCCACACCAGGAUAGUUCAGCCAGGCACCUGUGCUUGACCAGCCGCACGGAGUCCAUCCCAGAGGGACUUGUUUCAAUGCUGCUGCCAGAGCAGUCCUUGCUGGUGGCUCUCUCCAGAAGUCUGACAUAAGAGGGUGAAGGAGGAUGGCAACACCCAAUCUAACACACUGCGGCAGGACCCACUUGGAAAACUUCCGAAGAUAAAUU